rnacentral:rRNA from 1 species
GAUGAACGCUAGCGGCAGGCUUAAUACAUGCAAGUCGUGGGGCAGCAGGUCUGUAGCAAUACAGAUGCUGGCGACCGGCAAACGGGUGCGGAACACGUACACAACCUUCCUUUAAGUGGGGAAUAGCCCAGAGAAAUUUGGAUUAAUACCCCGUAACAUAUAGAAGUGGCAUCACUUUUAUAUUAUAGCUCCGGCGCUUAAAGAUGGGUGUGCGGCUGAUUAGAUAGUUGGCGGGGUAAUGGCCCACCAAGUCGACGAUCAGUAACUGGUGUGAGAGCACGACCAGUCACACGGGCACUGAGACACGGGCCCGACUCCUACGGGAGGCAGCAGUAAGGAAUAUUGGUCAAUGGACGCAAGUCUGAACCAGCCAUGCCGCGUGGAGGAUGAAGGUCCUCUGGAUUGUAAACUUCUUUUAUUUGGGAAGAAAUCUAUCUUUUCUUGGAUAGUUGACGGUACCAGAUGAAUAAGCACCGGCUAACUCCGUGCCAGCCGCCGCAGUAAUAC